rnacentral:tRNA from 1 species
GUUUAAGUAGUUUAACUAAAAACGUUAGUUUGUGGUGCUAAAAUUAUAAUGUUUUAUCUUGGACU